AUGGCUGCUGUGGGUGAAGAAGUUGCUGUAGCAGCUCUCAGUCAUGAAGUGUUAAACUCACAGGACUAUAAACACUCCCAGAGCACUGAAGCAUGGAGCGCUCAGUGCAGCGUGUCUUCUGUCUAUGGAAAUAUCUUCUCUACAUCAUCUACUAGGAAGUAUAGAGUGGUGUGUUUAGAGCAGCAGGUUUUUGUACGGACGCUGAAUGAGUUUGUAUCACUGUGGUACACUUUCGGUGGAGGAACUAAACUGGACGUUGGACGUGAGACUCCUCCCACUCUUACAGUCCUGCCCCCGUCCAGUGCAGAGUUGGAGCAGGGGGAGGUCACACUGCUGUGUGUGGGCAGCGGGGGCUUCCCCUCAGACUGGAAGCUGAGCUGGAAGGUGGGCGGCAGCAGCUGGAGCUCGGGGGUCCGUCACAGCCCCGCUCUUCUGAAGAAGGACCACGGCCUCUACAGCUGGAGCAGCACCCUGACCCUCCAGCAGCAGCAGUGGAUGAAGAACACAGUGACCUGUGAGGCCACCAAGAACUCCCAGUCUGUAGCCAGUAAACCAGUGAGCGCAGACCAGUGCUCUAACCUGUGA